CGGCGGGUGAAAGUCCCGCCGGAAAAAGAGUUUUAUGGUUUCCGCGAUCUCCGCCACAAACACGAAAGGUGACUUUCAUGUUUGAAGCUGGUGUAAAAGGAAAUUUGUGAAAUUUCCGGGAUCAAUCGACAGGUUGUAACGUGA
rfam:Bdellovibrionales bacterium GWA2_49_15 gwa2_scaffold_28, whole genome shotgun sequence.